GUCCUGUCCCAUAACAUCAUAUCUACUAUUGAAAAGGGAUCUUUCUCCAGCCUCACCUCCUUGAAGACUUUAACCUUGAUUGGAAACAAUAUACUCAAUGUAGAAGCGUUCGCUGUUUUAGAUCUACCGCUACUUGAAAGGCUAGACUUCACUGAAAAUCAGAUACCUGAUGUCGAACCGAUGACUUUCAGUAAACUACCAUCACUCAAAACCUUG